rnacentral:rRNA from 1 species
UACGGGGGGAGCAAGCGUUGUUCGGAUUUACUGGGCGUAAAGGGCGCGUAGGCGGUCAGUGCAAGUCAGUUGUGAAAUCUCCGAGCUUAACUCGGAAAGGUCAACUGAUACUGCUCGACUAGAGUGCGGAAGGGGCAACUGGAAUUCUUGGUGUAGCGGUGAAAUGCGUAGAUAUCAGGAGGAACACCUGCGGUGUAGACGGCUUUCUGGACCAUUGCUGACGCUGAGACACGAAAGCGUGGGUAGCAAACAGG